GCUGUGAAGUGUGGUUAGGUACCGCAACGAGCGCAGCCCCUGCUGUCUGUUGCCACCACGAGAGGUGGGGACUCAGGCGGAACUGCCGGUGACAAACCGGAGGAAGGUGGGGACGACGUCAAGUCAUCAUGGCCCUUAUGUCCUGGGCUACACACGUGCUACAAUGGCCGGUACAGAGCGCAGCGAGGCCGCGAGGCGGAGCGAAUCGCUUAAAGCCGGUCCCAGUACGGAUUGGAGUCUGCAACCCGACUCCAUGAAGUUGGAAUCGCUAGUAAUCGCGCAUCAGCAUGGCGCGGUGAAUACGUUCCCGGGCCUU
rnacentral:rRNA from 1 species